GAAGAGUGGCCAUGGCUGUGCUCCAUGGAGCUGCAAGGUGGCAAGAGAUGAGCUGCCUGCUUCCCAACACUGACACCUGUCCCAACUGUCCCAGAAUGGGCGGGAGGACAAUGACGCAGCCCCCUCCAAGCAGUGCUUACCUGCCUGUCCUACACCAUGCACCAGAAGUUGGAUAUGCCUGUCCACUUGGCCCACAGGACGAGCAGCAUCAGAACUACGGCUAGAAGCCAUGUCCAGGGGAGAACGAGGCCCCUAUAGGGAAACUUGGGGCCCACGUACCGCAGGUAGUACACAGCUUUCGUUGCUCGUUCCUGAUAGACAAACAUAUUCUUCCGGUUCACCACAGAGAAGGCAUUGAGCACGGAGCGCAGGGCCUGGAUGGC